rnacentral:rRNA from 1 species
GACGAACGCUGGCGGCGUGCUUAACACAUGCAAGUCGAACGGGAUUUAGUAAACAGAAGCCUCGGUGGAAGAUUACUAAUGAGAGUGGCGAACGGGUGAGUAACGCGUGAGCAACCUGCCUAUGACAGUGGGAUAGCCUCGGGAAACCGGGGUUAAUACCGCAUAAAAUCGUAGAAACACAUGUUUUAACGGUCAAAGAUUUAUCGGUCAUAGAUGGGCUCGCGUCUGAUUAGCUAGUUGGUGAGAUAACAGCCCACCAAGGCGACGAUCAGUAGCCGGUCUGAGAGGAUGAACGGCCACAUUGGAACUGAGACACGGUCCAAACUCCUACGGGAGGCAGCAGUGGGGAAUAUUGCACAAUGGGGGAAACCCUGAUGCAGCGACGCCGCGUGAACGAAGAAGGUAUUCGUAUCGUAAAGUUCUGUCCUAUGGGAAGAUAAUGACAGUACCAUAGAAGAAAGCUCCGGCUAAAUACGUG